UGUUUUAAAACAUUUAACAUCAAAUAUUUUUCUGACUUACAGUGUGGUGUUAGAAGUUGAAGUUUUAUGAUGAUUUUGUUCUAAAUAAGUCUAGAUCUCCUCCAGUAGAAAGCUCCCUGGUGAGGCGUGGUGACUCAUGCCUGUAAUCCCAGCACUUUGGGGGAAGCCAAGGCAGGAGGAUCACUUGAGCCCAGGAGUUUUAGAGCAGCCUGAGCAACACAGGGGGAGACUCUGUCUCCAUAGCUAAUUAACUGGGCACUGUGGUGCCUAGCUACUUGGGAGGCUGAGGUGAGAAGAUAACUUGAGCCCAGGAAGUGGAAGCUGUGGUGAGCUGUGAUCACACUGGUAUACUCUAGCCUGGACAACAGAGCAAGACCGUUAAAAGAAAAACGGAAAAAGAAAGCUUCCUGACUACUACUUCCAACUUCACUAAAAGACUCAGAGACUUUGAGUUUUCCCCUUUAUUUGUAACUCUUUUUCUGUAUGUCUUAUUAUUAGCAUAAAAAAUCAGUAAACCAAUUAGGAUGCUAAUGUAUUUAGCACAUCAAAUUAUCUCAGGCUAAGGAAAGCAGGCAAAUUACACAUUUGUUUCUAUACUAAAUAUAGCCCAAAACAGUCAUUAUUUAUUUUAGACUGUUGUUUUUUGUUUCACUUCCUUACUGCACAAUUACCCUGAACCCCCAAGGUAGCAUAUCUUUCCUUCCAUCAAUCUCUUUUUAGAUUUUUUAUUUUGAGAUUUUUUUAAGCAUAGAGGAAAAGAGAAUAAUACAAGUACUCAUGUAUACAGAAUAUACUCAUUGUUUCUCCAUUAGGUAUUUUAAAGUAAGUUGUAAACAAUGUGACAUUUCAGUUAGACUUUUGGAUACCUCCAUAUGUCUCUGUUUUUU